rnacentral:rRNA from 1 species
AGAAACCAACAGGGAUUGCCCUAGUAACGGCGAGUGAAGCGGCAACAGCUCAAAUUUGAAAUCUGGCGUCUUUGGCGUCCGAGUUGUAAUUUGCAGAGGGCGCUUUGGCAUUGGCAGCGGUCCAAGUUCCUUGGAACAGGACGUCACAGAGGGUGAGAAUCCCGUACGUGGUCGCUAGCCUUUACCGUGUAAAGCCCCUUCGACGAGUCGAGUUGUUUGGGAAUGCAGCUCUAAAUGGGAGGUAAAUUUCUUCUAAAGCUAAAUACUGGCCAGAGACCGAUAGCGCACAAGUAGAGUGAUCGAAAGAUGAAAAGCACUUUGGAAAGAGAGUUAAAAAGCACGUGAAAUUGUUGAAAGGGAAGCGCUUGCAGCCAGACUUGCCUGUAGUUGCUCAUCCGGGUUUCUACCCGGUGCACUCUUCUAUAGGCAGGCCAGCAUCAGUUUGGGCGGUUGGAUAAAGGUCUCUGUCAUGUACCUCUCUUCGGGGAGAACUUAUAGGGGAGACGACAUGCAACCAGCCUGGACUGAGGUCCGCGCAUCUGCUAGGAUGCUGGCGUAAUGGCUGUAAGCGGCCCGUCUUGAAACACGGACCAAGGAGUCUAACAUCUAUGCGAGUGUUUGGGUGUCAAGCCCGAGCGCGUAAUGAAAGUGAACGGAGGUGGGAACCUUUCGGGGUGCACCAUCGACCGAUCCUGAUGUCUUCGGAUGGAUUUGAGUAAGAGCAUAGCUGUUGGGACCCGAAAGAUGGUGAACUAUGCUUGAAUAGGGUGAAGCCAGAGGAAACUCUGGUGGAGGCUCGCAGCGGUUCUGACGUGCAAAUCGAUCGUCAAAUUUGGGCAUAGGGGCGAAAGACUAAUCGAACUAUCUAGUAGCUGGUUCCU